GCGGGCAGCAAGCAGCGGCCUUGGAGCGGCAGCCUGUGAACCCAGUGAAACGGUAGCUCUCCAGGAAACCGCGAGUGCCCAGCACCCCUCCCCGCCGCUCUCAGGGAAGCGCGGGCCGGAGCGAGCCGAGAUGAGGUCUCACUGUGUUGCCCAGCCUAGUCUUGAACACCUGCCUUCGAGUAGUCGUCCCGCCUCGGCCUCCCAAACUGAUGGGAUCUCACAAUGUCACCCAGAAUGGACUGUAGUGGCUGUUCGCAAGUCAUAGUGUACUGCAGCCUCAAACUACUGGCCUCAAGUGAUCUUCCUGCCUUGGCCUCCCAAGUAGCUGGGACUACAGGUGCAUGCCACCACACCCAGCCCCAUGUGGCUUUUGAGCACAUGAUAACAUGGGUAGUUGGCAUUGAGAUGUACUGUAAGUGUAAAAUACA